UCCCUGGUGGCUCACACGGUAAAGCAUCUGCCUGAAAUGCGGGAGACCCAGGUUUGAUCCCUGGGUUGGGAA
rnacentral:tRNA from 1 species